GGGGCGUGCCGCCGCCGUCGCUGCCACCUCCCCUACCGCUAGUGGAAGAAGAUGGCGGAAGGCGGAGCGGCGGAUCUGGACACCCAGCGGUCUGACAUCGCGACGCUGCUCAAAACCUCGCUCCGGAAAGGGGACACCUGGUACCUAGUCGAUAGUCGCUGGUUCAAACAGUGGAAAAAAUAUGUUGGCUUUGACAGUUGGGACAAAUACCAGAUGGGAGAUCAAAAUGUGUAUCCUGGACCCAUUGAUAACUCUGGACUUCUCAAAGAUGGUGAUGCCCAGUCACUUAAGGAACAUCUUAUUGAUGAAUUGGAUUACAUACUGUUGCCAACUGAAGGUUGGAAUAAACUUGUCAGCUGGUACACAUUGAUGGAAGGUCAAGAGCCAAUAGCACGAAAGGUGGUUGAACAGGGUAUGUUUGUAAAGCACUGCAAAGUAGAAGUAUAUCUCACAGAAUUGAAGCUUUGUGAAAAUGGAAACAUGAACAAUGUUGUAACUCGAAGAUUUAGCAAAGCUGACACAAUAGAUACAAUUGAAAAGGAAAUAAGAAAAAUCUUCAAUAUUCCAGAUGAAAAGGAGACCAGAUUGUGGAACAAAUACAUGAGUAAUACAUUUGAACCACUGAAUAAACCAGACAGCACCAUUCAGGAUGCUGGUUUAUACCAAGGACAGUGUGAAAAACUCAAAUUACUGUCUCCCAUCAUAUACUGCUUAUAAGAACUAUGAUU
rnacentral:sRNA from 1 species